CCGGACCGCAAUCCCAGGCGCGUUGGUGGGAACUUCCCGGUUCAGGGCCGCACUUUGGACUUGGACGCUGUACCGUCUCGGGUCUGGGUAGCUCCCCGGUCCUCCAGCUCAUCGACCCCGGGGCAGCGCGGCUACGUGGGGGCAGAUAGGGAUGCAGGGGUGUCCUGAGGCUACAGCACAAAUGACCACGCAUGGGGGCCCUAAAUGGCAGAGACAUAUUCCCUCUCAGUCCUGGAGGCCCAAAGUCCAAAGUCCAGGUCAGGAGGGGAGGCUCCUCUGAAAGUUGUCAGUGAGGACCCUGGGCCUUGGCGGCAUCGUCCCAGCCAUGGCAGGGGCGCUCUCCUUGUCCCCUAAGGACACCAGUCACCCUAAAGACCUCAUCUGACCUUGAUCUCAUCUGCGAACCGUUUCCAAAGAAGGUCCCAGUCACAGGUGCCAGACUUCAGGGCUUGACCACGUCUUUUGGGGGACACAACUCAGCCUCUGUCCCAAGGAACCCCAGAGUCUGGCUGUGCUGUUUCCAUGGCUGCCUGAGGGCUCUCCUCCCUUGGCCUGAGCUGCUCAUCUGUCCCCACUCUCAGGUAGCGCUGGGACUAGAAGGAGCGUAGAAGGAGAAACUCAACAUCUACAAAGCCAGAAUGGGCGAAUCUGGCCUUCACUCCCCUGAACAGCACACUGACCCUGUCCCUGACCCCUGACCCCGCCCCACCUGCGUCCUCCGGGCCUGGAUCCUUGACCACCAGCCAGGGCCUUCGAUACCCGUGGCCCCCACCCCGGCUGACACACACGGUGGUUACCUGCUCCGCACUUGGACCUUCCUGCUGCCCCUGAGGGCCACCCUCUUCUCACUGGCAGCCUGUGGGCUCUGGCGAGACCCACCCCACAGCCCGGCUUUUCUGCAGGACAGGGCGCUGUGACAAGUUCCCCUCUAAGCCGCGGGGCCAACGGAAUAGCCAUGUACGCCUGGAGGCGCCGUGGGGGCUGGUGAGAUGGACGCACGCUCCUUCACCCCGGGACCUGCAAGCUCCGGGCACUCGUCCUGCAGACGGGGAGACUGGGGAGCAGGGAGGUAGCAGUGGUGACCCCAGGUAUACACAGCCUGGGGACGUGGGGCAGAGCCAAGGCUGCAUUGCCACCUCAGCGCCUCUCCUGGAACAGAAGGCGAACACCCCACAAACUAGGGGUCCUAACGCUCUGGCAAGUACACCCCAGUACUGACACGGCCACCUGCACACGGGGCCAUGAAGGGCCAGCUGUCAGGGUGAGCUGUGAGGCAGGCUUCUUGCGGGAACCACCCUGAGCCCAGGACUGGCCAGGACGCCCCCACACAGGGCCCCAGGCCUCCGGGAGUGGUCACAGGGUGUUGGUGGGAAGGUACCCUGGAGGCAAACUCUCCAGGAAGGCCCCCUCUGCGGACUGUCCCCCCCGGGCUCCCAGGGGAGAGUUGGGGUACAGAUUCCUGCCCAGGCUCCGCGGGUCCAGGAACCUGGUGGAGGGACGUUGGGGGGGUUUCUCCAGGGAGAGACACCUUGUCCCUUAGAUGCCGGUGCAAGUACACACACGGGUGCGAGGCACUUGAGAUGAGCCCCACGCAGUCCGUGUGCGCGGACGCGCAUGUCUCCCCGCGCAGCGCAAGCCGCGACGUCCCGCUGCCGGCACUCUUGCUGUCCCUGAGCUGUACCUCGAAGCGGCACACGGACGACGCCUCGCGUCCGCCUUCUCUGCCCGGCCUAAGGGUCUCUGAGUUCUCUAACUGCACCUGAGCCCCACUGUGUCGAUUUUCCAUGACCCGUGGCCCCAUUCUCCUGGUAACGGCCUUCUGAGGAGCCUGCGCUCCCUGCUCGCCCUGUAGGCCGACUCAUCGGCAUGGGGGUACACCUGCUUCUUCCUCCGGGCCAGGACUGGGGCGUGAGUGUCCAGGGGGACCGUCCGCCUUCGGCCCCAGCCGCACAGCAGGGGCAGUCCAUGUGUGACGGAGACCCUCUCUCUGACGUUCAAGUCUCCAGGACAGCCCUGGGGGUGCAGUGAGUCAGGCACAGCACAGGCGGCUGCUGCCACCCACCGGGAAGGACGCCACUGGAGCUGAAGGAUCAUGGUUUUAGUCGCUCGCCACACGUGGGCUGGGGCCACAGAUUCUCUUCCGCCUGCGCCUACCAUAGCAUCGGGCACGGACGCUCUGGGAGGAUCCACUGGCCACGUUACACGUGUGUUACACGUGUGCAAGCAUGUUGGCGCCCCAGGAGGGGAGGGAGGGUGAUCCAGACGGCCACUGCUGGGCCGCAGGCCACAAGGUCAUGUGGAAACAUCUGCGGGAGGACGUAGGCAGGGACUCGCUCAGCGUGUUUGCUGAAGGGUCGCUCGUGAGGACAAAUCAGCCUCCGAAAUGGGGUAAGGGGGGAUCCUGUGAGGGAGGAGGGGCUCCUGGGGGAGAGAUCCUUUCAGGCCAGCACAGGGAUGCUGAUGUGCGAAGACCCCACAGUUCCCAAAGCUGAGAAAAGCGGUGUCCUGCCUGCCUCUAGGGUGAGCCAAACCUCCCCUCCCCUUCUUCUUGGGGAGUCCCCAGGGCCUCUCCCUGCUUCUCCCCGUCCCUCAGCUAAAAGCCCUGUUUGCCCCCACACGCCUCAUCCUCAAGUGGCUUGCGGAAGCCCCUGCAGUGCGGGAACCACAGUGCCUCCGCGGAGAGCACGAAGCCCAUGGGCCACACAUUCCUCCCCCUAAGCCCCCGGCCCCGCACACACGCUGAUGCUGGUUUUCCUCUGUUACAAAACCACAAAUUGCCUUUGUUAGAAGAAGAAAAAUGUUUACGUUCAGUAAUGAGGUCCAAGACCCAGAAGCAGAGGAAGACCAGAGACAGUCGGCGGGGACACUCCUGAAGACAGGACGGGUCCUCCUGAGGCAGGCUCUGACCACCAA